rnacentral:rRNA from 1 species
GACGAACGCUGGCGGCGUGCUUAACACAUGCAAGUCGAACGAUGAAGCUAGAGCUUGCUCUGGUGAAUUAGUGGCGAACGGGUGAGUAACACGUGAGUAACCUGCCCCGAACUCUGGGAUAACUGCUGGAAACAGUAGCUAAUACUGGAUACGACCUACGAAGGCAUCUUCUGUAGGUGGAAAGAAUUUCGGUUCGGGAUGGACUCGCGGCCUAUCAGCUUGUUGGUGAGGUAAUGGCUCACCAAGGCGACGACGGGUAGCCGGCCUGAGAGGGUGUCCGGCCACACUGGGACUGAGACACGGCCCAGACUCCUACGGGAGGCAGCAGUGGGGAAUAUUGCACAAUGGGCGCAAGCCUGAUGCAGCAACGCCGCGUGAGGGAUGACGGCCUUCGGGUUGUAAACCUCUUUUAGUAGGGAAGAGGCGAAAGUGACGGUACCUGCAGAAAAAGCACCGGCUAACUACGUGCCAGCCGCCGCCGUAA